rnacentral:rRNA from 1 species
UAACACAUGCAAGUCGAGCGGGGUUUUCGGACCUAGCGGCGGACGGGUGAGUAAUGCGUAGGAAGCUACCCGAUAGAGGGGGAUACCAGUUGGAAACGACUGUUAAUACCGCAUAAUGUCUACGGACCAAAGUGUGGGACCUUCGGGCCACAUGCUAUCGGAUGCGCCUACGUGGGAUUAGCUAGUUGGUGAGGUAAUGGCUCACCAAGGCGACGAUCUCUAGCUGGUUUGAGAGGAUGAUCAGCCACACUGGAACUGAGACACGGUCCAGACUCCUACGGGAGGCAGCAGUGGGGAAUAUUGGACAAUGGGCGCAAGCCUGAUCCAGCCAUGCCGCGUGUGUGAAGAAGGCCUUCGGGUUGUAAAGCACUUUCAGCGAGGAGGAAGGGGUUGUAGUUAAUAGCUGCAACCUUUGACGUUACUCGCAG